UUCGCCCCGGGCGUCGUUUGACGAAUCUAAAUAACAAAUCAGAUCGCAUGGUCCUUGUACCGGCGACUAUCUUUCAAAUGCCUGACUUAUCAACUGACGAUGGUAGACUCUGUGUCUACCAUGGCUCUUACGGGUAACGGGGAAUCAGGGUUCGAUUCCGGAGAGGGAGCCUGAGAAACGGCUACCACAUCCAAGGAAGGCAGCAGGCACGCAAAUUACCCACUCCCGGCACGGGGAGGUAGUGACAAAAAAUAACAAUACGGGACUCGAUAUGAGGCUCCGUAAUUGGAAUGAGUACACUUUAAACCCUUUUUCAAAAAGCCAUUGGAGGGCAAGUCUGGUGCCAGCAGCCGCGGUAAUUCCAGCUCCAAUAGCGUAUAUUAAAGUUGUUGCGGUUAAAAAGCUCGUAGUUGGUUCUGCGUCCCACGCUGUCGGUACACCGCUCGUCGGUGACACUGGCAUGCCGUGGUAUGUCCUGUCGGUGGCGGCCGAGUCCUUUGGUUUUCGGUUUUUUACCGGUUUCCAAUCGCACUCCGGUCGCCGGCUCCUAUCCUACCGCGGUGCUCUUUAUUGAGUGUCGAGGUAGGCCGACACGUUUACUUUGAACAAAUUAGAGUGCUUAAAGCAGGCUCAAAUCUCCGCCUGAAUAGUGGUGCAUGGAAUAAUGGAACAGGCCCUUGGUUCUAUUUUGUUGGUCUUAGGAACACAAGGUAAUGAUCAAUGUGGACAGGCGGGGGCAUUCGUAUUGCGGCGUUAGAGGUGAAAUUCUUGGUUCUUCGCAAGACGCACUAGAGCGAAAGCAUUUGCCAAGUAUGUCUUAAUUGAUCAAGAACGAAGUAAGUUAGGAGCAAACUCAAGAACGAAAGUUAGAGGUUCGAAGGCGAUCAGAUACCGCCCUAGUUCUAACCAUAAACGAUGCCAGCCAGCGAUCCGCCGAUGUUCCUCCGAUGACUCGGCGGGGAGCUUUCCCCGGGAAACCAAAGCUUUUGGGUUCCGGGGGAAGUAUGGUUGCAAAGCUGAAACUUAAAGGAAUUGACGGAAGGGCACCACCAGGAGUGGAGCCUGCGGCUUAAUUUGACUCAACACGGGAAACCUCACCAGGUCAGGACAUUGGAAUGAUUGACAGAUUGAUAGCUCUUUCUUGAUUCAGUGGGUAGUGGUGCAUGGCCGUUCUUAGUUGGUGGAUCGAUUUGUCUGGUUAAUUCCGAUAACGAACGAGACUCUAGCCUAUUAACUAGACGUUUCCGGUAUCGAAGCUACCGGCGAUAUAUAUUCUUCUUAGGGGGACAGGCGGCUUUUAGCCGCACGAGAUUGAGCAAUAACAGGUCUGUGAUGCCCUUAGAUGUCCUGGGCCGCACGCGCGCUACACUGAAGGAAUCAGCGUGUUCUUUCCCUUGGCCGAAAGGUCCGGGUAACCCGCUGAACCUCCUUCGUGCUAGGAAUUGGGGCUUGCAAUUGUUCCCCAUGAACGAGGAAUUCCCAGUAAGCGCGAGUCAUAAGCUCGCGUUGAUUACGUCCCUGCCCUUUGUACACACCGCCCGUCGCUACUACCGAUUGAAUGAUUUAGUGAGGUCUUCGGACCGGCGGUAGGCCCAAUCGAUUUACGUCGGUUUCGUCGAACGCUGGAAAGAUGACCAAACUUGAUCAUUUAGAGGAAGUAAAAGUCGUAACAAGGUUUCCGUAGUGACU
rnacentral:rRNA from 1 species